rnacentral:rRNA from 1 species
UACGAAGGGGGCGAGCGUUGUUCGGAAUUACUGGGCGUAAAGGGCGCGUAGGCGGCGAUCCGAGUCAGGUGUGAAAUUCCCGGGCUCAACCUGGGGGCUGCACUUGAUACGUAGGAACUUGAGUGGGGAAGAGGGUCGUGGAAUUCCCAGUGUAGAGGUGAAAUUCGUAGAUAUUGGGAAGAACACCGGUGGCGAAGGCGGCGACCUGGUCCUUGACUGACGCUGAGGCGCGAAAGCGUGGGGAGCAAACAGG